rnacentral:misc_RNA from 1 species
UCCGGUUUGUCACCGGCAGUAUCCCAUGAGUCCCCAACUAAAUGCUGGCAACAUAGGACAGGGGUUGCGCUCGUUGCGGGACUUAACCCAACAUCUCACGACACGAGCUGACGACAGUCAUGCAGCACCUGUGUUCCGGCUCCCUUUCGGGCACUCCUGCAUCUCUGCAGGAUUCCGGACAUGUCAAGGGUAGGUAAGGUUUUUCGCGUUGCAUCGAAUUAAACCACAUCGUCCACCGCUUGUGCGGGCCCCCGUCAAUUCCUUUGAGUUUCAACCUUGCGGUCGUACUCCCCAGGUGGCUUACUUAACGGUUUCCCUUGGACGCACAACGUCUAGCGCCAUACGUCGAGUAAGCAUCGUUUAGGGCGUGGACUAC